rnacentral:rRNA from 1 species
UACGUAGGGACCAAGCGUUGUUCGGAUUUACUGGGCGUAAGGGGCGCGUAGGCGGCGCGGUAAGUCACUUGUGAAAUCUCUGAGCUUAACUCAGAACGGCCAAGUGAUACUGCAGUGCUAGAGUGUGGAAGGGGCAAUCGGAAUUCUUGGUGUAGCGGUGAAAUGCGUAGAUAUCAAGAGGAACACCUGAGGUGAAGACGGGUUGCUGGGCCAACACUGACGCUGAGGCGCGAAAGCCAGGGGAGCAAACGGG